rnacentral:lncRNA from 1 species
UUUCUAUGUGAAGAUAUUUCCUUUUCCACCAAAGGACACAAAAGGCUCCUAAUACCCACUUCCAGAUUCUACAAAAAGAGUCUCACAACUGCUCAAUCAAAAGAUAGGUUCAACUCUGUGAGUUGAAUGCACACAUCACAAAGAAGUUUCUCAGAAUGCUACUGUGUAGUUUUUAUGUGAAGAUAUUUCCUUUUCCACAAUAGGCCGCAAAGCGCUCCAAUUAUCCACUUGCAGAUUCUACAAAAAGAGAGAUACAAUACUGCUCAAUCAAAAGAUAGGUUCAACUCUGUGAGUUGAAUGCACACAU